GCUCGUCCGAAAAACCCUAAACAAACAGGUGGGAUUGGUGGGCGAGAGUAUAAAAUGUUGUAGCUGGUGUUGUGUGAAAAGCCUUGAAAACUCUUGUCAUACUUGGCAUCGUAAUGAUUGUGUGUUUAAUGGGGCUUCCCCCACGGUUGCUACAGCUCUGCCCCUUGCCAAAUAUGACACCCAACUAUGGAGCAUGUCAGGUGCGAGGGCCUCCCCCUAUGUUCUGUCCCAGGGGGCUGUUUUAGCGCAAUGUCCUAGCCGUCGAAUCCCUCCACACCGCCCUCCGCGCCCGCUUCCCCUUCGCCGGCCCCAUCGACGACGAGGCACACCUUUCAGAAAGGGGUGGAGGAAGAGGGGGAGGAGGAGGCCAUCGACACACGGAAGGAGGAAGGGGAUUUUCGUCGCCGCGUGGAGGCGCGCGCCGAGCUGCAGAUGGAGGGGGCUGGUUGCGGCUCGCACAGAUGAGGGAAGUGGGAGGCGAUUGAUGCGAAGGGAGUAGCGACAGCUAGCUAGGGUUACAAGUACCGUGUACAUACGAGGACAGGACUAUACGAUAUUGAUGGGAGUUGAGUACACUGUAGGACAUUAGUGUCAGUUUGUUGUUGAAGUUUCAGACUUCCAGUUGAUAUAUACAGAACGAUAAAUGCGGCUGGGGUUAUGGUGGAAAUCUGAUAGUCAAGAUCUACUGCCUGACCAGAUGAGGAUGAAACCUGCAGAACAAAGGAUUAAUGCAAAAAUGAUGGCAUACAGUGCGAUAGCACUUAGGCAUGUGUGAUGUGCUUUAAUUCCAACAGUCCGUCCCUACUUGCCCCAUGUUUUAUUUUUUGGUAUCUCAGAAAUACUGAUUAGUUAUUGUGGCUUUUUUUCAUCACCUUUUUUCCAGAAACAUAACUUCUGCACCCUGGUUUCACUGCAUGCAUUGCUUAUCAAAAUACUGACUUGACUGUUUCUUGAGGCACUUUGCAGGUGAUGUAUGAUGCCUUUGGUGUUAGGCUACAUGCAGGAAAGCAAGCAAAGGUCUUGAACCAGAUUGUGUAUGAGCUUCCAUUAGAACAUCCACUGGCUGAAACAAGACCGCUGCGAGAGCUACUAGGGCACACACCUCCACAGGUAUUUGCUGGCGGAGUGCUUGGAUUUGCAGUAGCCACAUUUAUAGCGAUGAUCGCUGGGCUUGGUAGUUGACUCCGCAUUUGAAGAAAUGGUCAACAUUCACAUUGAAGUUCUGGAAUUCAAAUUGGACACAUGUUUCCUAGCCAGCUUAUGAUAGAUAAUGUGUUGUGUAUAGGUGUAUUUAAUAUGCAAAUUGUUGUCAAUUUGUUGAAGAGAAACUUGCGUCAUUCUUUUGUAGUUAAUCGACGAGUGAACUAUAUGUUGUAUUCGUUCCUGUCCAAAGUAUUUGGACUGAUUGAAAGUACCUCUUGAUAAAGCAUUCAUGAGAUUUCCGCACAGCCAUUGCGAUUGAUUUCCAAACCUCAUGUUCAAGUGCAACAUCAUCAAUAUGUGA